UACGUAGGGUGCAAGCGUUAAUCGGAAUUACUGGGCGUAAAGCGUGCGCAGGCGGCUUGCCAAGUCAGAUGUGAAAGCCCCGGGCUCAACCCGGGAAUGGCGUUUGAAACUGACAGGCUAGAGUUUGGCAGAGGGGGGUGGAAUUCCACGUGUAGCAGUGAAAUGCGUAGAGAUGUGGAGGAACACCGAUGGCGAAGGCAGCCCCCUGGGCCAAAACUGACGCUCAGGCACGAAAGCGUGGGGAGCAAACAGG
rnacentral:rRNA from 1 species